rnacentral:rRNA from 1 species
GAGGAAUAUUGGUCAAUGGACGCAAGUCUGAACCAGCCACGUCGCGUGAAGGAAGACGGCCCUACGGGUUGUAAACUUCUUUUAUACGGGAAUAAAGUGCCCCACGCGUGGGGUUUUGCAUGUACCGUAUGAAUAAGGAUCGGCUAACUCCGUGCCAGCAGCCGCGGUAAUACGGAGGAUCCGAGCGUUAUCCGGAUUUAUUGGGUUUAAAGGGUGCUCAGGCGGGGGAUUAAGUCGGCGGUGAAAUUUUGCAGCUCAACUGUAAAAGUGCCUUCGAAACUGGUUUCCUUGAGUGUGGAUGAGGUAGGCGGAAUUUGUGGUGUAGCGGUGAAAUGCAUAGAUAUCACGAGGAACUCCGAUUGCGCAGGCAGCUUACCAAGCCAUAACUGACGCUCAAGCACGAAGGCGUGGGGAUCAAAC